rnacentral:pre_miRNA from 8 species
CCGGCUCUCACCUGGUGGGGAAUAUAUCUCGCUGGGUCCUCCAAAUGUUAUACCCGAGCGAGUUAGAAAAACGCCACACUUUGAGAUGAAUUAAGAGUCCUUUAUUUA